AUUGAACGCUGGCGGCAUGCUUUACACAUGCAAGUCGAACGGUAACAGGUCUUCGGAUGCUGACGAGUGGCGAACGGGUGAGUAAUACAUCGGAACGUGCCCGAGAGUGGGGGAUAACGGAGCGAAAGCUGUGCUAAUACCGCAUACGAUCUACGGAUGAAAGCGGGGGAUCGCAAGACCUCGCGCGGACGGAGCGGCCGAUGGCAGAUUAGGUAGUUGGUGGGAUAAAAGCUUACCAAGCCGACGAUCUGUAGCUGGUCUGAGAGGACGACCAGCCACACUGGGACUGAGACACGGCCCAGACUCCUACGGGAGGCAGCAGUGGGGAAUUUUGGACAAUGGGCGAAAGCCUGAUCCAGCAAUGCCGCGUGCAGGAUGAAGGCCUUCGGGUUGUAAACUGCUUUUGUACGGAACGAAAAGACUCCUUCUAAUAAAGGGGGUCCAUGACGGUACCGUAAGAAUAAGCACCGGCUAACUACGUGCCAGCAGCCGCGGUAAUACGUAGGGUGCAAGCGUUAAUCGGAAUUACUGGGCGUAAAGCGUGCGCAGGCGGUUAUAUAAGACAGAUGUGAAAUCCCCGGGCUCAACCUGGGAACUGCAUUUGUGACUGUAUAGCUAGAGUACGGUAGAGGGGGAUGGAAUUCCGCGUGUAGCAGUGAAAUGCGUAGAUAUGCGGAGGAACACCGAUGGCGAAGGCAAUCCCCUGGACCUGUACUGACGCUCAUGCACGAAAGCGUGGGGAGCAAACA
rnacentral:rRNA from 1 species